rnacentral:rRNA from 1 species
CACGUAGGGUGCGAGCGUUGUCCGGAAUUAUUGGGCGUAAAGCGCUCGUAGGCGGUGUGUCGCGUCGGCCGUGAAAACCUGCAGCUUAACUGUGGGCUUGCGGUCGAUACGGGCAUCACUGGAGUUCGGCAGGGGAGACUGGAAUUCCUGGUGGAGCGGUGAAAUGCGCAGAUAUCAGGAGGAACACCGGUGGCGAAGGCGGGUCUCUGGGCCGAUACUGACGCUGAGGCGCGAAAGCGUGGGGAGCGAACAGG